GACGAACGCUGGCGGCGUGCUUAACACAUGCAAGUCGAACGGAAAGGCCCUGCUUUUGUGGGGUGCUCGAGUGGCGAACGGGUGAGUAACACGUGAGUAACCUGUCCUUGACUUUGGGAUAACUUCAGGAAACUGGGGCUAAUACCGGAUAGGAGCUCCUGCUGCAUGGUGGGGGUUGGAAAGUUUCGGUGGUUGGGGAUGGACUCGCGGCUUAUCAGCUUGUUGGUGGGGUAGUGGCUUACCAAGGCUUUGACGGGUAGCCGGCCUGAGAGGGUGGCCGGCCACAUUGGGCCUGAGAUACGGCCCAGACUCCUACGGGAGGCAACAGUGGAGAAUAUUACACAAUGGGCGGAAGCCUGAUGCGACAACGCCGCGUGCGGGAUGACGGCCUUCUGGUUGUAAACCGCUUUCGCCUGUGACGAAGCGUGAGUGACGGUAAUGGGUAAAGAAGCACCGGCUAACUACGUG
rnacentral:rRNA from 1 species